rnacentral:misc_RNA from 1 species
AUUCCCAUAGAAGGAUCCUGUUCCAGGCCAGUCCCGCUCAUGGUUGCCACUCCCAAUCAUGUAUGGAACGGCAGAAGCAACAGGCUCAACUUGUGCUGUAAACUGAUCCCACUGUGAGAUGUAUCCAUUGGCGUAGCAUAUAUCUCCAAUAUGAAGAACAAUAUCAAUAUUACUCAAAUCCUUGAUAAGCUGGUAGGUGGUGUUGAGUGAGCCAGGCUGGAAGUCAUUGUACUCAUUCGACCCAUCAGCCUCUGCCUUUCCCAUAUCACCAAAAAUGA